rnacentral:rRNA from 1 species
CACUCCUGCGGGAGGCAGCAGUAGGGAAUCUUCCACAAUGGGUGCAAACCUGAUGGAGCAAUGCCGCGUGAGUGAAGAAGGUCUUCGGAUCGUAAAGCUCUGUUGUUAGAGAAGAACACGUGCUAGGUAACUACUAGCGCCUUGACGGUAUCUAACCAGAAAGUCACGGCUAACUACGUGCCAGCAGCCGCGGUAAUACGUAGGUGACAAGCGUUGUCCGGAUUUAUUGGGCGUAAAGGGAGCGCAGGCGGUCUGUUUAGUCUAAUGUGAAAGCCCACGGCUUAACCGUGGAACGGCAUUGGAAACUGACAGACUUGAAUGUAGAAGAGGAAAAUGGAAUUCCAAGUGUAGCGGUGGAAUGCGUAGAUAUUUGGAGGAACACCAGUGGCGAAGGCGAUUUUCUGGUCUAACAUUGACGCUGAGGCUCGAAAGCGUGGGGAGCGAACAGGAUUAGAUACCCCUGUAGUCCCAUGAU